rnacentral:rRNA from 1 species
GACGAACGCUGGCGGCGUGCCUAAUACAUGCAAGUCGAACGAGAGCAACCGGUGCUUGCACUGGUCAAUCUAGUGGCGAACGGGUGAGUAACACGUGGGUAACCUGCCCAUCAGAGGGGGAUAACAUCCGGAAACGGAUGCUAAAACCGCAUAGGUCUUCGAACCGCAUGGUUUGAAGAGGAAAAGAGGCGCAAGCUUCUGCUGAUGGAUGGACCCGCGGUGCAUUAGCUAGUUGGUGAGGUAACGGCUCACCAAGGCCGUGAUGCAUAGCCGACCUGAGAGGGUGAUCGGCCACAUUGGGACUGAGACACGGCCCAAACUCCUACGGGAGGCAGCAGUAGGGAAUCUUCCGCAAAGGACGCAAGUCUGACGGAGCAACGCCGCGUGAGUGAAGAAGGUUUUCGGAUCGUAAAACUCUGUUGUUAGAGAAGAACAAGUGCUAGAGUAACUGUUAGCGCCUUGACGGUAUCUAACCAGAAAGCCACGGCUAACUACGUG